rnacentral:rRNA from 1 species
UGAGGAAUAUUGCACAAUGGGGGCAACCCUGAUGCAGCGACGCCGCGUGGGUGAUGAAGGUUUUCGGAUCGUAAAGCCCUUUUCUGCAUGACGAGCACAGGACGGUAGUGCAGGAAUAAGUGUCGGCUAACUACGUGCCAGCAGCCGCGGUAAAACGUAGGACACAAGCGUUAUCCGGAAUUACUGGGCGUAAAGGCGUGCAGGCGGUUGCGUAAGUUAGGCGUGAAAGACUUCGGCUAAACCGGGGGAGGUCGUCUGAUACUGCGCAACUAGAGUAUGGUAGAGGCGUGUAGAAUUCCGGGUGUAGUGGUGAAAUGCGUAGAGAUCCGGAGGAAUACCAGUGGCGAAGGCGGUACGCUGGGCCAUAACUGACGCUAAGACGCGAAAGCAUGGGUAGCGAACGGGAUUAGAUACCCUGGUAGUCCCUGAGCGGGCUGGCAAGGCGCAU